rnacentral:rRNA from 1 species
UACGUAGGGUGCGAGCGUUAAUCGGAAUUACUGGGCGUAAAGCGUGCGCAGGCGGUUCGCUGUAUCCUGUGUGAAAGCCCCGGGCUUAACCUGGGAAUGGCAUGGGAAACUGGCGGGCUGGAGUGUGGCAGAGGGGGGUGGAAUUCCGCGUGUAGCAGUGAAAUGCGUAGAGAUGCGGAGGAACACCGAUGGCGAAGGCAGCCCCCUGGGCUAACACUGACGCUCAGGCACGAAAGCGUGGGGAGCAAACAGG